rnacentral:rRNA from 1 species
GGAUUAGUACGUGUGGUCGUGCCUUAGGUACGUACUGGUGUUACUGGUUCCUACCUUCUGACGAACCAUCAUGUCAUUAAUUUGGUGUGGCGGGGAAUCAGGACUGUUACUUUGAAAAAAUUAGAGUGUUUAAAGCAGGCUCGCGCUUGAAUACAUUAGCAUGGAAUAAUGAAAUAGGACGUUGACCCUAUUUUGUUGGUUUCUAGGAUUGACGUA